GCCGGGGUGGUACAAACGGUUAAUGUGUUUGGCUCCUAACCAAAGGUUGGAGGUUCAAGUCCACCCAGAGGCC
rnacentral:tRNA from 1 species